GGAUGUGAGGAUGAUCUGGUUGCAACACCUGUCACCCCAUUGAUGGCCAGGGUUGAUUCGGCUGAUCUGGCUGGCUCAGCGGGUGUCCCCUUCCUCCCUCAACACUCUAUGUGUGUCCCUCCAGAAGCUGAGUGCUUGAUUGAAGAAGAGGACCAUCCCCAAUAGAGGAGGACCAUUUCCUCAAGGGUCUGCAAGUAGCUGUGCUUCCAUGCUAAAACCUCCAAACAAGCUCUCAAAAGCACCUUAAUCUGCUGGACUUGGUGGCUCACACCUGUAAUCCCAGCACUCAGGAGGCUGAG
rnacentral:snRNA from 1 species